GACGAACGCUGGCGGCGUGCCUAAUACAUGCAAGUAGAACGCUGAAGGCGGAGCUUGCUCUUCUGGAUGAGUUGCGAACGGGUGCGUAACGCGUAGGUAACCUGCCUGGUAGCGGAGGACAACUAUUGGAAACGAUAGCUAAUACCCCAUAAGAGUAGAUCGUGCAUGACAUUUACUUAAAAGGUGCAAUUGCAUCAUUACCAGUGGGACCUGCGUCGUCUUAGCUAGUUGGUGGUGUAACGGCUUACCAAGGCGACGAUACAGAGCCGACCUGCGAGGGGGAUCGGCCACACUGGGACUGAGACACGGCCCAGACCCCUACGGGAGGCAGCAGUAGGGAAUCUUCGGCAAUGGACGGAAGUCUGACCGAGCAACGCCGCGUGAGUGAAGAAGGUUUUCGGAUCGUAAAGCUCUGUUGUAAGAGAAGAACGAGUGUGAGAGUGGAAAGUUCACACUGUGACGGUACCUUACCAGAAAGGGACGGCUAACUACGUG
rnacentral:rRNA from 1 species